rnacentral:misc_RNA from 1 species
UAAUAUUUUAUUAUUAAAAAUUAGAAAAUUAUUGUUUUAAUUUUUUUGGGUCAAAAACUAGGUUUACUUGAACUUAAACUGAAAGUUGUAGAUUAAUUGGGAAAAAACUUUAAAAUGGGCCGGUUUGAAAUGUAUCAAAAAUUUAGAGGCAACAAUGAGCUUUCUCCCCGAAAAAACGGAAAUGAACCUUCAAAAGAAUUUUUGCAUAAGCAAAUACCAUUAGUCCAUUGAAUAUCACUGGUCAUCCUUGGCCAUUACCAGCAAACGACUGCCAGGGGUAAUAAAAACUUACAUUUUUAAUGCAAGUUUUUCUAAUAUUCAACAAUAAAAAGAAAAAUAUAAAGCUCUUAUCGAGUCCAAACAUUUUCAGUCUUAAUUUGUCCAAUGUGCUCCAAACGCUAGAAGAUAAUUUUCAACUGACUUUGAGUGUUGCAUCCAAAUAAUAGAAAAUAAAUCAUUUUCUGAUAUUUUUCUCAUGAGAAAAUAUUUACCCUAGAUAAAUUAUUUUUCCAGAAGAAAAACAGCCUAAAGGAAGAAGGAUCCAAUAGAUUUUGUUAACAAAGGUUAUGCUUCUCUGAUCAGAAUGUAAUUUUCCUUUUUAUUAUAUAUUUUUUCUAAUUUCUAAAAUUCAACAUCGUACUCCAAGAUCUAAAAAGCUCCCCUUAAACUUAGAGAUCAUGCUAUAACACAGAAAAAAAUGAACUACAGAAAAAAAAAAUACAACAAAUUACAUAAAAACUGUUUACUGCAACAAUAUAUUUGUAAGUUCCAUUUAGCGAUGGAUUCAUGGAACCCAUAUAUAUUAGCCAAUAUAUUAUGCAUGUAAACUCACCAGACUUUGAGUCCGACGUGUUGGCAGCCUAUUAUGUCUAUAACCUGAGGGCUGUGAUCUUUGGGCUCGACCAAAUAUUCUUUGGAUGAAAUCCUGUAUGUGAUUAUAAAUGCUGCAUGCCAACACAUCAGAAAAUAGUGGUAAGAAAAGUUAUGUAAGAGUUGUGCUCUUUAAAGUUGUAAAUCACAAAAGAAAAAGUUCCUAUACAACACUUGUAAUAGCAACAAUACUCCUGCCAUCAAAUAUUUGUAUCUUUCUACAAUAUGCAAGCUACACACGUGGGCAUAGAUUGUACAAUUUUAAAGGAACUAAAUACUAAACACAACCUGUCUAGAUAUCAAAAGAGCCAUAAAAGAUCUUGUUUCAUAUUUGUUUUUAAUUGUUUCUUGCUGAAACUCAGAUAUUUUUAUACCCAAUCGGAGGAAAAAGAAUUGUGUACCUAUAAAGUCUUAGUAAGCAUAAACAUGUUUGUAAUUUGGUGCAAAUAUUACCUAAGGCGAUGCCUAUUACAGGCUGUAAAGAAGGCGACAAAACCAUUCAAUAUACUCCUAAGAGCACGAAAAACCUGAGAAAAAAGAUCAUUCCAAAGUGACCGCCAAAUGGAAACUUCAUAAGUCCUCAUUGUUGCCUCAGAUGCUGAAGCAAGCUGGAAUAUGCCACUUACAGACCGCCAAAUAUCUCCAAUCAAUUCUGAUAUCCAAGCACAAAUUAAAGCUAUAAAACUGGCAAUUGCAAGGACCAUUCGAAUUGGAGUAUAAAGCACCUCCCAAAGGAUCCAAAAUAUGGGAUAUAAAAUUGUUGUUGCGAUGCUCCAGAUCAUUGAGACAAUAAGCCAUAAAGGCCACAGUGUAAGCUCUAUUAAAUCUAUGACCAUUUUGCAAAAUGAUCCACUCACAAACCAAACGAUAGAACAAAAGCUCUCUACCACUUCCAUAAGCACAUUCCAUAUUGGUAGAAGGAUGCCUAAAAUCUCUGUAAGUGGUUCAACUAGAGGUUGUGUGAAAAUGGAAAAGAAAGAUCUAGUGGUACGAGUGACCAUUAAAAUCCAUGUAACAGCCUUCUGAAAGUUAUGCAGAAAUAGCAUUGUUCCUAAGUACUUGAUCCUCGAUACCAUCUCCCACGUCUCUAUCCAAUCAAAAAGUGGUCCACACAAUCGAGAUGCAGUUGCCUUAAGAACUGGAACAUUUUUGUAUAAAUCAUAAAAUCCUAUAAGAACAGUGACAAUUGAGAUCAGCACAUAUAAAGCUCUAGCCAAAGGGCACAUCCAGGGGCGAUAAAGAUGGCAAAACCCAGGAUAUGACUGAAGAAAUAGAACCCACGAUGGAAGUCCAGCCUCUAAUAAAGUAAGUAACCGUAGGUCAGAGAUUACUAUAUCCCUCAGUUUAAAAGGAAGAUCAGGAUCAUUGAACUUAAACAAAAUCAAAACAUCUCGAUACUGCUUAGGUUCAACAGUGUUUUCACAAUCACUGGUAUAGGUCUCUGAGUCAUCCAACCAAUCUUCAAUUUCACCCUGUAUUUCCUCAGAAUAAAAAUCAACUUCAACUCCAGUACUAAUGGACUUGGUUACCCUUCUUCUCUUAUACGGCCCUGUGGGAGGAGGAGUGUGUGGAUCACUUGCUCUAUCUUCCAUGGUCCCAUGAUUUACACUAGAACUGCCACCCAGGCAGCAUAAAGAAAUAUCCUCUCCUCCCAGACUAUCAUUGCAGAUAUUAUCCUCAUCAUCAAUAGAAAUAAUCCUUGAGAAAUUUUCUUUAGCAUCAUAAAAGAUCUCACCUAUUGCAGAUUCUAGAUACUCUUUCAUGUUUAGCUUCUCAGAAAGUGUUCCUGAGAACCACAAAGAUAUACAACUUGCAGCUUGCUCUAUGCUAUCAAAUUCCCAUCUCCGCAUAAUCUUAGACUCAAGAGCCAGAGAUGUGUCUGUCUGAAGCUCAUUCAAGUAGUUAAUACCUCGAACAUUGGUCCAUGAAACUUCAAACACAAUAAAACCAUAGAGGGUCCUGUGCAACUCAUUGCUUAGAAACAAAGAAUUUCGUAAGUUCUUCACAGGUACCAAACCUCUUUUCCGAGACAAAGUUGCUGCAUCAAUCAAUGAGAACCAUCUUUCAAUCUUCUUUGAUCUAGAAAGAUUGGACUCCGAACAAACUGCCUUUCCCUCUUUUCUCCCCCUCUGAGCCUUAGUGUUUGCAAAAGGAGAUAACCUGGACUUGGUAACCAUCAACUGCCACAAGUGAGCUGUCCGUGAACCAAAAUCCCUCAACCAUGGCCGAUUAUCCACCAGGAUAUAUAAUCUAUUACUUUCAAGUGCCACAAAAAGGCUAAGAUCUGAAAGAUAAGACUGCAAGUCUCUGGAAUCACACACAGCAUAAAAGUAGAAAAAUAAGAACACAUACUAAAAGGAACAAAGCAACCAUCCUCCAUCAUUUAACACCGCAAGAUUCACUGCCAUCUGAUAUAUGCAGCAAAGCACUGAAACUAAAUGUUCUUUUCCCUUUUUUUUUGUAAAAAAAAAAACAGUAGCCUUUCCAAAUUAGUCAAACCCGAGAUAUGCCAUCCUUCAAAAUUACCAGACAAUGACAUUUUUUACAUCUACCUAAAAUUUUGCAAUUUAUGGGAUUAGUAUUAAAAUUUGGAGCAUAGUUAAGUAAUUAAGCAAAAUUGAAAUUUAUUUUUAAAUCAAAGAAAACAUGAGAGAAUAAAAAAGCAUAGAGAUGAACAAUCUAGUUUGAAUGGGUAUUCAUCAUGUCUUCUGCAAUACAAAUCAUUUUCCACGAGCCAAAGAAGGGGAAAAAUUCAAUGUGCUAGAAUCUCGUCUAUCUUCUCUUGUAUUCUUUUCUUAAUGGUCAGCCUUCCAACAAAAUCUCAAUCGAUAUCAUAAGCUUCAUUUUUAAUUUCAUUAAGAAUCUGCUAUAUCAAAUUUUCAUGAAUGAUUUCCAGACAUCAAAUUCAUGAAACUAGGAAAUUGAGCAAUAAAUGAUAAUAAGCCAAAGCAAGAUCACAACAAUUGCUGAUAAUGCAAGUUCUCCCUCAAAAACUUCAAAAAAUUACAUGGCAAAAAAAAAAAUUGCAAUUUUCAUUGCCACUCGUUCUUCUGCAGUUAUCAUUUAUCAACAUAUGAUCAUGAUCGUUAAUAGUUGUAAACCACAAUAUGACAAACAAAAGUCAAUCUGUUCUACAGAAAUCUGUAAGUUUCUACUCAAUGACUCAUAAAAAAUAUAUAACAAAGAGAGAGAGAGAGAGAGA